CCUACGGGGGGCAGCAGUGAGGAAUAUUGGUCAAUGGACGAGAGUCUGAACCAGCCAAGUAGCGUGAAGGAUGACUGCCCUAUGGGUUGUAAACUUCUUUUAUAUGGGAAUAAAAUGUUCCACGUGUGGGAUUUUGUAUGUACCAUAUGAAUAAGGAUCGGCUAACUCCGUGCCAGCAGCCGCGGUAAUACGGAGGAUCCGAGCGUUAUCCGGAUUUAUUGGGUUUAAAGGGAGCGUAGGUGGAUUGUUAAGUCAGUUGUGAAAGUUUGCGGCUCAACCGUAAAAUUGCAGUUGAAACUGGCAGUCUUGAGUACAGUAGAGGUGGGCGGAAUUCGUGGUGUAGCGGUGAAAUGCUUAGAUAUCACGAAGAACUCCGAUUGCGAAGGCAGUUCACUGGACUGCAACUGACACUGAGGCUCGAGAGUGUGGGUAUCAAACAGGAUUAGAUACCCGAGUAGUC
rnacentral:rRNA from 1 species